UUAAUUGUACAUUAGCCACAGGGUCUGCUAGAUGACUCUGCUUUUCCGAGGAAAACUUUUUCAAGAUUUUUUUUUUUUUCUAGGAGACCGAAAAGAGGGAAACAUCAAUGACUAUUUCCUUUGUAAAUAUCCAUGUCGGAAUAGAGAAAUCACAUAGAGUGGCUUUUUAUCCAAAACAGUUUUGUGGUAUUCUACAGUCAGGUCACAACUAGAAUGAACGUUGUCAACGCCGUUAUAUGAGGCAGAAUCGGAGUGAGGAAGGCAACUCCCGUGAUCUGGUAGACACAGAGGGGUGCCGCCCAGAUCCCCCUUCAAGGAGACUUCCAGAGACUCUAACCUGCGGCCAUCGGUGCUGGGCGUGGUCCCAGAAAGCAGGCAACAAAGUGAGGGUUUGAAAGUGGGUCACACACCACCAGGCUGGCCGUGAGGCCCCCAUCGCUGGUGGUCGUUGGCCACCCGAGAACUGGCAUGAUGGGCACAUGAAUGGAGAGGCCACCAUGACAGAGAUGGAGGCUGAGAAUAUCUCCAAGGGCACAUAAAGGCAGUUCUUGC